rnacentral:rRNA from 1 species
AGUGAACGCUGGCGGUAGGCCUAACACAUGCAAGUCGAACGACAGCACAGUAAGAGCUUGCUCUUACGGGUGGCGAGUGGCGGACGGGUGAGGAAUACAUCGGAAUCUACUUUUUCGUGGGGGAUAACGUAGGGAAACUUACGCUAAUACCGCAUACGACCUACGGGUGAAAGCAGGGGAUCUUCGGACCUUGCGCGAUUGAAUGAGCCGAUGUCGGAUUAGCUAGUUGGCGGGGUAAAGGCCCACCAAGGCGACGAUCCGUAGCUGGUCUGAGAGGAUGAUCAGCCACACUGGAACUGAGACACGGUCCAGACUCCUACGGGAGGCAGCAGUGGGGAAUAUUGGACAAUGGGCGCAAGCCUGAUCCAGCCAUACCGCGUGGGUGAAGAAGGCCUUCGGGUUGUAAAGCCCUUUUGUUGGGAAAGAAAAGCAGCAGGUUAAUACCCCGCUGUUCUGACGGUACCCAAAGAAUAAACACCGGCUAACUUCGU